rnacentral:rRNA from 1 species
GACGAACGCUGGCGGCGUGCUUAACACAUGCAAGUCGAACGGAAAGGCCCUGCUUUUGUGGGGUGCUCGAGUGGCGAACGGGUGAGUAACACGUGAGUAACCUGCCCUUGACUUUGGGAUAACUUCAGGAAACUGGGGCUAAUACCGGAUAGGAGCUCCUGCUGCAUGGUGGGGGUUGGAAAGUUUCGGCGGUUGGGGAUGGACGCGCGGCUUAGCAGCUUGUUGGUGGGGUAGUGGCUGACCAAGGCUUUGACGGGUAGCCGGCAUGAGAGGGUGACCGGGGACAAGGGGACUGAGGUAGGGCGCAGGGGGGAACGGGAGGCAACGGGGGGGAGUAUGACACAGUGAGAGGGAGUGGGUGAAGGAGGCGCUGGGGGCGGGAAGACGGCUUGUGGGGAAAGAACAGCAGCCGCCUGAGACGACGCGGGAGUGACGGUAAUGAAAGAAGAAGCACCGGCUAACUUCGUG